rnacentral:rRNA from 1 species
GAUGAACGCUGGCGGCGUGUCUAAGGCAUGCAAGUCGAACGGACUGUUAUUUGUAGCAAUACUUAGAACAGUUAGUGGCAAACGGGUGCGUAACACAUUGGUAACCUGCCUCAAAGUCGGGCAUAAUCCCGCGAAAGUGGGACUAAUUCCACGAUGGUCAUCGAAGGUGAGAUUCCUUCGAUGUAAAGUCGCAAGACGCUUUGAGAGGGGCCUAUGGCCUAUCAGCUUGUUGGUGAGGUAACGGCUCACCAAGGCUAUGACGGGUAGGGGUGUGAGAGCACGACCCCCCUCACUGGGACUGAGACGCUGCCCAGACACCUACGGGUGGGCUGCAGUCGAGAAUAUUCCCCAACUGGCCGAAAGGCUGAGGGAGCGACGCCGCGUGCAGGAAUAAGGCC